UCCGUAGGUAAGUACAAUCGGAUUAUCCUCUUCGAUUAUGAAAUCUUCCGAUAGCUAAUUCUUCUUUAGGUGAACCUGCGGAGGGAUCAUUA
rnacentral:rRNA from 2 species